rnacentral:rRNA from 1 species
GACGGAGGAUGCAAGUGUUAUCCGGAAUCACUGGGCGUAAAGCGUCUGUAGGUGGUUCAAUAAGUCAACUGUUAAAUCUUGAGGCUCAACUUCAAAAUCGCAGUCGAAACUAUUGGACUCGAGUAUAGUAGGGGUAAAGGGAAUUUCCAGUGGAGCGGUGAAAUGCGUAGAGAUUGGAAAGAACACCAAUGGCGAAAGCACUUACUGGGCUAUUACUGACACUGAGAGACGAAAGCUAGGGGAGCAAAUGGG